GUAGCACGCGAUCGAGUGAAGCGGAGGGAGGAAGAUCACGAUUUCCACCACCACCGCCGGCUACCGGAGCUCGAUCCUUCUCAUCCACCGAGGUCUAGGGGGUUUUCCUACCUCAUUCAUCUCCAUCUCCGCAUCCAUCGAAGCUCCGGCCAUCAUCUCCAUUCUCCGCCAGUUUCAUCCUCCGAUCGUCAACCACCCCUCGACUCCACGAUCCACACCGCGAGCUAUCACCAAGAGGUUCUAGGGAUUUUCCUUACUUCUCGGAUUUCACUUCCAAAGCGCCAAUCGAAGUCCAGCCGUCACCUCCGAUCAACCUCCUCUGUCCAUCUUCAUUGCCGUGUUUGCUCCGAUCCAGAUCUGAUUGAGUCAAGCUUAGGGGAAACCCUAGAUUGAUCUGUUUUGGUGAUGUUGAGGAGCCAACUAAGCCUGAUUAUACAUCUGCUGUUGAGGAAAGUUUAGGGACUUGCAUGUUGGAAGAAAUGCCCCAAGAAUCAUCUCUUUUAGUUGUACCAUCACCAGAACCAGAUGUUGAUGAUGAGAGUGUAGGAGCUUGUGCUAUGGAGGCAAGGAUCCAAGAAUCACUUCCUUUGAUUGUACAUUUAUCACCGACACCAGAGCCUUUACCUGAUCAGGAGGAUGUCACAUUCAUAUCCCCAGGUACCUUUCAACUUGACAAGGUCAGUAUUUUUCCUGAUUUUUUCUAAAAAACUCAUAGAGGUACCUAAGGUUGAUUUAUUUGGAUGUGAUAUAUUUCUUGAUUCAUUUUGUACAGAGCCUGAUCAUAUUUCAUCUCUUUCUUACCCCGCAUGUGUGUGGGAGUUGCUCUCUUUUCUUGACCUUGCAGGUCUGGCAAAAAUUAAUCUUUCGGAGUGGUUACUCCAACUGAACUGCCUUCAACCUCCGAAAAGGACCAUUCCACUACCGGCAUGGAUAUUAAUUCUAAAUUGUUUGUAACCAUCAGGAAUAAAGGGGAGUUCGUUCCUUACUUUUUUUUUUGCUUUACACUUUCUUCUACUUUCAUACUUUACAUUUGCAUUUUGCUUAAUACUUUGCACUUUGUUUGGUCUACAUAGCAUUUCAUUUUGAAUAAAAUUAUCCAUGAAAUUAUUCUAGUAAUACUUUUAAUAUCGUAAAAGAUUUUUAGGUUUGACCAUCACAUUUUAGGUCAAUGGAUAUGAUUGAAUACUUUACUUGCAUGCUUUUGGUUAGUGUGGUGAUAGAUUCUAUUUUAAUUAAUUGAGUUUGAUUGCCAAUAUUAACUAGAGAGGACUACCUAAAGCUUAUACUCUAUUAUCUUUCUGUGUAAUAUGCACUCAUGACAAUUGAAUUCUAGAACUUGUUUCGCUUCUUUUCGAAAUCACAAUAAUAUUUGUAUGCAUGAACAUGAUGAAGGAUAUCUCUUUCCUAUUCUUUGAUUUAUUUCCCUUCCAAAAUUCUUGUUGAAAAUCUCAUUCAACAUUUUUAUCUUCCACCAUAUUUACUUGUCAUUCUUUCAUUGAGACUUUGGAUAAAUUGUUUGAUGAGUAAGGAUGCCCAAGAUUUUAAGUGUGGGGGAGAGAUGAUGAGAUGAUAAAAUUUUGGAAAUAUUGAAGAUUUUGCAAAGGUUUCAUAAGGAUUGGGUUCAUCUUCUUUAUUUUUGGCAUAAUCUCUAUGGAUUCUUGGAUUAGAAAUUGAGAAGAGAGUCAGGAGCUGAGUUUGCAGCUGUGUUGUGAUACAAAUUUUGUUUGCUUCUUCAGCCAAACAAAGAUGAGUUCAUUUCCCCAGUUACAAAUGAAUAAGAAUAGCUGCAAUUGAGGAGAGUACAUAAAUAAUCAAUUUCCAAGAAGUUGAAAACUGAGUCCACAGUUUCUGAAAUUUUCAGAAACUGAACCUCAAUUCCAAAUUGCUACAGGAUGUUUUAUCAAUGAAAUAGGAAUGAAAUUCUCAAGCAAAUCAGAAAGGAGUGUCAAUUAUCAAAAUCUGAAUUAUGAAUGCAGAAUUCACUCUGCUGCUGAGUUGCUGCUUAAAUCCUUUUACUGGGACUGGAAAAAAAAUGUUGAAUCUGAGUUUCAGAAAUUGUUGAGAAACUGAGUCACUUUCAUUUUUUUUUCAUUCUUUUGCUAAGUGGCUGGAAUUGAAAUUCAAAGAAAGAAAAGGAAAAAAAAACAACA